rnacentral:tRNA from 1 species
AUGAUUGAGUAUCAUACUUUCAUUCUAUACAACUUGGCU